GAUGAACGCUGGCGGCGUGCCUAAUACAUGCAAGCCGAGCGAAUGGAUUAAGAGCUUGCUCUUAUGAAGUUAGCGGCGGACGGGUGAGUAACACGUGGGUAACCUGCCCAUAAGACUGGGAUAACUCCGGGAAACCGGGGCUAAUACCGGAUAACAUUUUGAACCGCAUGGUUCGAAAUUGAAAGGCCGCUUCGGCUGUCACUUAUGGAUGGACCCGCGUCGCAUUAGCUAGUUGGUGAGGUAACGGCUCACCAAGGCAACGAUGCGUAGCCGACCUGAGAGGGUGAUCGGCCACACUGGGACUGAGACACGGCCCAGACUCCUACGGGAGGCAGCAGUAGGGAAUCUUCCGCAAUGGACGAAAGUCUGACGGAGCAACGCCGCGUGAGUGAUGAAGGCUUUCGGGUCGUAAAACUCUGUUGUUAGGGAAGAACAAGUGCUAGUUGAAUAAGCUGGCACCUUGACGGUACCUAACCAGAAAGCCACGGCUAACUACGUGCCAGCCGCCGCAGUAA
rnacentral:rRNA from 1 species